rnacentral:rRNA from 1 species
UACAGAGGUCUCAAGCGUUGUUCGGAUUCAUUGGGCGUAAAGGGUGCGUAGGUGGCGGGGUAAGUCAGGUGUGAAAUCUCGGAGCUCAACUCCGAAACUGCACUUGAUACUGCCUUGCUCGAGUACUGGAGAGGAGAUUGGAAUUUACGGUGUAGCAGUGAAAUGCGUAGAUAUCGUAAGGAAGACCAGUGGCGAAGGCGAAUCUCUGGACAAUUCCUGACGCUGAGGCACGAAAGCCAGGGGAGCAAACGGG